UAUGUGCGUCACAAGGGCACAAAUCUAGAAAUUUGUGUUAAAGUUGUGCAUACUGCUGAGGAGGCAAACAAUAUUUUUUAAGAAUUUCAUGCCAGUUCAACAGGUGGGCAAAGCGGAAAGGAAAAAACCCAGGACGCAGUUUCUAGACGUUAUUACUGGCCUGGGAUGACCAUCGAUAUUAAAAACUGGAUUAAACAGUGCCCAGCAUGCCAGUCUAAAACAUAAAGAAGCCCAUGUUCCCAUAAUUGUAAAUGAACCGUGGGAAUUGGUCGGUAUGGACCUCGUUGGGAAGUUGACAAAGACAGAGAAAGGCAAUCAGUACAUUUGUGUACUGAUUGAUUAUUUCACAAAGUGGGUAGAGGCAUACCCAUUACCAUGCAAAUCAGCAGAAGAUGUCACAAUGUGCAUUGUGAAUCUUUUUCAUAGAUUUAGAGCACCAAAAAGGAUACUCACCAAUCAGGGCAGGGAAUUUGUCAAUCAGGUAAACACAGAAGUAUGCUCUCUGUUUGGCAUUAAGAGAAGUCUAUGUUCUCCUAACCACCCACAAACUAAUGGCCUGGUGGAACAGAUGAAUGCUACUAUCCAAAGGUAAGGUCCUGUUUACACAACCUAUGUACAGUAAGAUAUUAUAUAGUUGUAAAAAAAAAUUUUUAAGUUGCGUAGUAGAAGAGGCGAGUUGCUCUGUCUGUCUGCUGUGCUUCGGUAAGCUUUUCUGGCGCCAGGAGAGACUCAGU